CAGAACCAAGAGAUCCGUUGUUGAAAGUUUUGAUUUAUUUAUGGUUUUACUCAGAAGUUACAUAUAGAAACAGAGUUUUAGGGGUCCUCUGGCGGGCCGUCCCGUUUUACCGGGAGCGGGCUGAUCCGCCGAGGCAACAAGUGGUAUGUUCACAGGGGUUUGGGAGUUGUAAACUCGGUAAUGAUCCCU
rnacentral:misc_RNA from 1 species